rnacentral:rRNA from 1 species
CGGCCUUGAAAUACCACCCUUUAAUGUUUGAUGUUCUAACGUUGACCCGUGAUCCGGGUUGCGGACAGUGUCUGGUGGGUAGUUUGACUGGGGCGGUCUCCUCCUAAAGAGUAACGGAGGAGCACGAAGGUUGGCUAAUCCUGGUCGGACAUCAGGAGGUUAGUGCAAUGGCAUAAGCCAGCUUGACUGCGAGCGUGACGGCGCGAGCAGGUGCGAAAGCAGGUCAUAGUGAUCCGGUGGUUCUGAAUGGAAGGGCCAUCGCUCAACGGAUAAAAGGUACUCCGGGGAUAACAGGCUGAUACCGCCCAAGAGUUCAUAUCGACGGCGGUGUUUGGCACCUCGAUGUCGGCUCAUCACAUCCUGGGGCUGAAGUAGGUCCCAAGGGUAUGGCUGUUCGCCAUUUAAAGUGGUACGCGAGCUGGGUUUAGAACGUCGUGAGACAGUUCGGUCCCUAUCUGCCGUGGGCGCUGGAGAACUGAGGGGGGCUGCUCCUAGUACGAGAGGACCGGAGUGGACGCAUCACUGGUGUUCGGGUUGUCAUGCCAAUGGCACUGCCCGGUAGCUAAAUGCGGAAGAGAUAAGUGCUGAAAGCAUCUAAGCACGAAACUUGCCCCGAGAUGAGUUCUCCCUGACUCCUUGAGAGUCCUGAAGGAACGUUGAAGACGACGACGUUGAUAGGCCGGGUGUGUAAGCGCAGCGAUGCGUUGAGCUAACCGGUACUAAUGAACCGUGAGG